rnacentral:rRNA from 1 species
AGCAUGUGGUUUAAUUCGAAGCAACGCGAAGAACCUUACCAGGUCUUGACAUCCUCUGACAAUCCUAGAGAUAGGACGUCCCCUUCGGGGGCAGAGUGACAGGUGGUGCAUGGUUGUCGUCAGCUCGUGUCGUGAGAUGUUGGGUUAAGUCCCGCAACGAGCGCAACCCUUGAUCUUAGUUGCCAGCAUUCAGUUGGGCACUCUAAGGUGACUGCCGGUGACAAACCGGAGGAAGGUGGGGAUGACGUCAAAUCAUCAUGCCCCUUAUGACCUGGGCUACACACGUGCUACAAUGGACAGAACAAAGGGCAGCGAAACCGCGAGGUUAAGCCAAUCCCACAAAUCUGUUCUCAGUUCGGAUCGCAGUCUGCAACUCGACUGCGUGAAGCUGGAAUCGCUAGUAAUCGCGGAUCAGCAUGCCGCGGUGAAUACGUUCCCGGGCCUUGUACACACCGCCCGUCACACCACGAGAGUUUGUAACACCCGAAGUCGGUGAGGUAACCUUUUAGGAGCCAGCCGCCGAAGGUGGGACAGAUG